rnacentral:rRNA from 1 species
UACGGGGGGGGCAAGCGUUGUUCGGAAUUACUGGGCGUAAAGGGCUCGUAGGCGGCCAACUAAGUCCGACGUGAAAUCCCCAGGCUUAACCUGGGAACUGCGUCGGAUACUGGAUGGCUUGAAUUCGGGAGAGGGAUGCAGAAUUCCAGGUGUAGCGGUGAAAUGCGUAGAUAUCCGGAGGAACACCGGUGGCGAAGGCGGCUUCCCGGACCGACACUGACGCUGAGGCGCGAAAGCUAGGGGAGCAAACGGG